CAGGAAAUCGCGGCCAUGUCAGCGCGCUUUGCUGACGUGGCAGCAAAUCGCGUCCUAGAGGGCGCGAUUUGUUGCUAUAUCAGCAACUCGCGCUGACGUGGACACGAUUUCCUU
rnacentral:pre_miRNA from 1 species